GUCGAGCGAUCUCUUCGGAGAGAGCGGCGGACGGGUGAGUAACGCGUGGGUAACCUGCCCUGUACACACGGAUAACAUACCGAAAGGUAUACUAAUACGGGAUAACAUACGAAAGUCGCAUGGCUUUUGUAUCAAAGCUCCGGCGGUACAGGAUGGACCCGCGUCUGAUUAGCUAGUUGGUAAGGUAAUGGCUUACCAAGGCAACGAUCAGUAGCCGACCUGAGAGGGUGAUCGGCCACACUGGAACUGAGACACGGUCCAGACUCCUACGGGAGGCAGCAGUGGGGAAUAUUGCACAAUGGGCGAAAGCCUGAUGCAGCAACGCCGCGUGAGCGAUGAAGGCCUUCGGGUCGUAAAGCUCUGUCCUCAAGGAAGAUAAUGACGGUACUUGAGGAGGAAGCCCCGGCUAACUACGUGCCAGCAGCCGCGGUAAUACGUAGGGGGCUAGCGUUAUCCGGAAUUACUGGGCGUAAAGGGUGCGUAGGUGGUUUUUUAAGUCAGAAGUGAAAGGCUACGGCUCAACCGUAGUAAGCUUUUGAAACUAGAGAACUUGAGUGCAGGAGAGGAGAGUAGAAUUCCUAGUGUAGCGGUGAAAUGCGUAGAUAUUAGGAGGAAUACCAGUAGCGAAGGCGGCUCUCUGGACUGUAACUGACACUGAGGCACGAAAGCGUGGGGAGCAAACAGGAUUAGAUACCCUGGUAGUCCACGCCGUAAACGAUGAGUACUAGGUGUCGGGGGUUACCCCCCUCGGUGCCGCAGCUAACGCAUUAAGUACUCCGCCUGGGAAGUACGCUCGCAAGAGUGAAACUCAAAGGAAUUGGCGGGGACCCGCACAAGUAGCGGAGCAUGUGGUUUAAUUUGAAGCAACGCGAAGAACCUUACCUAAGCUUGACAUCCCACUGACCUCUCCCUAAUCGGGGAUUUCCCUUCGGGGACAGUGGUGACAGGUGGUGCAUGGUUGUCGUCAGCUCGUGUCGUGAGAUGUUGGGUUAAGUCCCGCAACGAGCGCAACCCUUGCCUUUAGUUGCCAGCAUUAAGUUGGGCACUCUAGAGGGACUGCCGAGGAUAACUCGGAGGAAGGUGGGGAUGACGUCAAAUCAUCAUGCCCCUUAUGCUUAGGGCUACACACGUGCUACAAUGGGUGGCACAGAGGGUUGCCAAGCCGCGAGGUGGAGCUAAUCCCUUAAAGCCAUUCUCAGUUCGGAUUGUAGGCUGAAACUCGCCUACAUGAAGCUGGAGUUGCUAGUAAUCGCGAAUCAGAAUGUCGCGGUGAAUACGUUCCCGGGCCUUGUACACACCGCCCGUCACACCAUGAGAGUUGGCAAUACCCAAAGUUCGUGAGCUAACCGCAAGGAGGCA
rnacentral:rRNA from 1 species